rnacentral:rRNA from 1 species
AAAACUUUCAACAACGGAUCUCUUGGUUCUGGCAUCGAUGAAGAACGCAGCGAAAUGCGAUAAGUAAUGUGAAUUGCAGAAUUCAGUGAACCAUCGAAUCUUUGAACGCACAUUGCGCCCGGCAGUAAUCUGCCGGGCAUGCCUGUCCGAGCGUCAU